ACGGCGGAUUGUUCCCCCAUCCGCCAGGUGGCGCGAGUGUCUUCGUGAGGAAGAAAUAAUUUGCCAUUUGUUUGACCUGGUUUGACUUGAAAGUGUCUUCCAAGUUGAUUGGUGUCGAUCUACAUUUUUAGCCAUUAAAUGUAAUUGGCAAUCUGGCAUAUAAUUUCACUUGGCCAAAUGUGAUGACGUGGGUCGAAACUGCUGUCCAUUUUGUCGAAAUGUCGGCCAUUGUUAGCUGUACGUCUCAUCUCGUGCAGAAACACUUCAGACCUAUUGAUUUUCAGGUCGGAAAUGGAGAUCCCUUUGCUCAACUGUUGCAGAAAUUUAGAACACGACAAAGUCUGAGCUUCAUGGAUGUAGUAUCAUUAAUGUGGUUUUGUUGCAGCCAGCUGGUGAAAGGUGUGAUCGAGUCAUGGUUGAGUUGCAGCUUCUGCAUGCAGUUUACCGAGCUGGUGCUAUCCCAAGUGUAACUGAAGGAAAACUUCUUGAAUUGCCAGGUGAAGUCUGCGCUUUUUUGUUGCAGUCUAAUGUGCGCAUGGAUUCGUUGCAGUCAUCCAGUGAAAGGUGUGAUUAAAUUGAGCUGUUGCAUGCAGUCUUUGGUGCUGAUGUUGUCCUGGAGUGUGGGAGAGUCCCAUGCUUCAAGUCUUCUGGGAUCAGCCAUAUCUUAGUUGACACUGGAUCAUGCUGCAUUGUGGUUGCCGAAAUGUUGGACAUCUAGUAGAACUGCAAGAAGACUCCUUGAAAUGGUUUAUGUUUACUUAGCAGUGAUAUUGCUGUCCAAUAUGGCAUGUUGUUGCACGUUGCAGCCUAUACUGGUGAAAAUUUUCUGCAUCGAGUUAUGGUGUUGCUGUUCCUUGGGUGUCGGACUGCUGGUGUUGUGCACAAAAGUUACAUCCAGUUUUAAUUGUUAUUUGUGUCUAUGCAGUUAACCGUUUAUAUGUUGAAAAGGAACAGAAAAGUUCCUUAGUGUUGAAUCGCUGGUGUUGUGCUACAUAAGUUACAACCAGUAUUUUGUUUAAUUGCUAUUUGCGCCUAUGAAGUUAACCUAUGUGUUGAGAAUGAAAAAAAUAGUAAUACGGGGAAUUUUUACGUUGAACAAAUAAUAAACAUGCCUUCGCGCUUGGGAAACCAGCGAGGAGGAGAUGGGGGGGGGCAAUUGAUUUUCAUUAACUAGAAGAAGUUGUGGUUUGUUUUAAUAAGGUAGAAAUAAAAUCCUCUAUCUAUCACAUCCAUAUACCUACCUAUAUAACUACAUCUAUUCCUCAAACCCCAUAACUUCAACAAACAUCCAUUCCUUAAACCCAAUAACUCCCACCAACAUCUAUUCCUUAAACCCCGAUUUCCCCAUAAAUAUCUGUAAUAUGUAAAUGUUAUUGUUGAAUAAAUGAACAAUGUAAUAUA